UCCGGUGGGCAUUCCACCGUUCCAGUGGUGUGUAGCUGUUCAGCAAACCACCUCAAACCAAAGGCUUAAAGCAACAGCCAUUUGUUUUAUUUACAAACAGAACUCAGAAGGGGCAGCUUCUGCUUCCGCAGGGCAGUUACUGGUCUGGCUGGAAGGGGAGGGGUGAGCUCAGCUGGGAGCCAGCAAGCUCUCUUGCCCACAUAUCUGCAUUUGAUGCGGCUGUUGGCUGGGACCUCAGCCGGGGCGGUCAGCUGUUCAGUUGUUGCACUCAUGUGUGGCUUUUCUAUUCUGAUAUGAAGCCUAUGACUGUUAGCCAGUGGAUUCUGGUUCUCUGGAAUUCUCUGUCAAGACAGAAUCACAGAUCCAAUUAAUUUUUAUGUUUAUUCUGACUGGGACAAUGCUGCCUCUGGAAUCAGAGCCUCGGCGCUUGAGAGACCGGAAUGGGAUUUCCUCCUGGAGCACUGAGCACAGAUCCGUCUUUAGAACUGGGUCCCCAAGAUGCCUAUUGUCACUCCAGGACGGCCUGGCCUGACAGGGAGGCAGGAGGACAGUGGAGAGUGAUACCACCUUUCUCUCAACACAGGCUGCUAACCGCUCGCAACCUCCCCAGCUCCUCCCCAGCCGGCGGCCUUGGAAAGUUCUGUUGAUUCAUCUCAAAUGCACUCACUGUGUCCUCAGAGCUAAUCCCUGACCCUGGACGAGGCAGUGCCCAGCUCCCUGUGCAGCGACCACUGGAGGAACCAAAUGAGGCAGGAGGGCCCUCACCUCGGCUGCCGAACAACUCUUGGCUCUCUGGUCCUUCUGUGAGAGUGCCUCUCGGGUUUGUGCUGGGCUCCAUCCUAUAUGAGUUCUGGCGGAGCUUCCUGAGGAGAGGGGCAUUGUCUGGUGGAAGCUGCCCGGCUCAUGCCUGCCCUGCAUGACUUUCUGGGAUGCUGUGUCCUCUGUGCUGCUGGGAAAUUCCUGAGUUCUCUUGGGAGGGGAUAGGGCUGAAGAAGAUCACUGUUGUGUAUUAGCAAAUAGCGUUGACUUCACAGGCCCUCCUGAGAGGCCUUUGACAGACCUGACCAUGUUUUGGGGAGGACUGCGGGAGAACUUUGGAACUCGAAGCUAGAAAAGACACUGAGUGUUGAGAGCUCAGUGAGCUGUUCUGGAGGAGCUUGGAAGGUAAGAAUGUUGAGAGCCGUGCAGAAGACGGAGGCCUGGCUGGUGAAGUUUCAGAGGGAAGUAAAGACUCUACCUGGCCAUUUCUGUGAAGAAUCUGAGGUGUCUGGCCAGCCGGAGCUGAAGAAUCAGCUGUGAUUAACAAGACACCAGAAACACUGAAGUAAAAUCUUUGCUUUGCUGGCACAAUGGAUGCUGGUCAACUGGAGCUGAAGAAUCAGCCAUGAUUAAGAAGAGACCAUCAUCAUUGAGGUGGAGUCCCCUGGGCAGUCUUUCCUCAGGGUCAGCACACAGAAAAUAUGUUCCAGAAAUGACCAAGAUUGUACCUUAUUCUGGCAACCAAACUUGGUAGCAUAAGAGUCACCCAGUUGUUGCUGGUUUUGAAGGCAUGAAGGGGUCAUGGAGAGCAGCUGAGGAUUGGCACUGUGUAGCAGGGCUGGAGUCCCUGAAGAGAGCCCAGGAGAGGCUGCCAGUGAAAGUGCAGCCUAGUUGCAGCAAGAGACCCAAGCAUGUUUGGAGACGCCAGCACCACGGGAUGACCACCAAGCAGCGGUGGAGUGGAGCCAGCUGAAGCCUAAAAGACAAGCUGGUCAUGCUGCAGAGGGCGGAGUCAGAGAAGUGACCCAAACCCUUUGGAGGAGCCCAGAAGAUCGUGAGUGAAUCCCGGAUGAUUGGGCAUUGAAUUUUUUAUACUGUUGGAGUUUGGUUUUGCUUUGUUUAGUCUGUGCUGGCACUUUCCUCUUGAAGUAAGAAAGUAUUUGAUUUAUUUUUGAUUUGACAGGAGUAAACAGUUGAGAGACUUUGAAUUUUAAAAGACUUUGGAUUUUAAGAGACUGCCUCUUUUAAAGAGACUGAAUUUGUAAGUGUUUGAUUUUUAAAGACGGGGGACUUUUAAAAAUUGGAAUGUUUCUAUUGUAAGGUUGAUGUUAGUUUGUGAUCUUGGGGAAGAACAAGAAAGGAAAGGUUAUGACUUAACAGUGAUGUGUUUGUGUGUCAAGUUGACAAGGGGUCAAUUGUACUGGCUGGUUUUAUGUCACCUUGACACAAGCUAGAGUUAUCUGAAAGGAGGGUCCCUCAAAUGAGAAGAUGUCUCCUUAAGUUCUAACUAUAGGGAAUUUUCUUAAUUAGUGAUUGAUAGAGGAGGGCCCAGCCCUUUGUGGGUGGUGCCAUCCUUGGGUUGGUAGUUUGGGGCUCUAUAAAAAUUCAUAGACUAAGCAAGUCAUAAUGAGCAAGCCAGUAAGCAGCACCCCUCCAUGGUCUCUGCAUCAGCUCCUGCCUUCAGGUUCCUGUCCUGUUUGAAUUCCUGUCCUGACUUUCUUUGGUCAUAACCAGCAAUGUGGAAAUGUUUUUCUCCCCAACUUGCUUUUUGGUCAUGGUGUUUCUUUGCAGCAGUGGUAAAGCUGAGGAAGACACGGCCCUUGGACAGUACUUUGAGAACUGCUAUUCUGGGAGAGGGAUACAAGUAAAUAAAUGAACCAAAACCAAAACCACAUCUCCAUUCCAGCAGAUAAAUGUGUAAAAUGUAUAUUAUAUUGUAUCAGGUUCAAGUUCUACAGAGAAAGAGGAAUGAAAGGAGGGAAAGAGGAAAAUUAAAAUGUCUAAUUGUUAGAGAUUACUCGGGAAUUCUUUUUUAAGAUGAUGGAGGGAUAUCAAGUUACUAUGACAUUAGAAAUGCAUUGAGAUACACACUCCAGUGAGUGGUGUGUAGAUCUAUUGAAAUGUUUAGCCACUCCCCAUCCCCACACUUUACCACUCCUUCCCCACUCUUUGGAAUUUAACCUUCGACAUCUAUUUAACCGGCACAUGAACAUUCUUAACCACCAACAUAGCAUUCUGUGCUUCAAGAUUCUUUUAAAGCUAUGUAAAUAAAAACCCUUAAAGAUCCCUGA